AGUCGACUAGAGUUUGAUCCUGGCUCAGAUUGAACGCUGGCGGCACGCUUAACACAUGCAAGUCGGACGGUAACAGGCCUUCGGGUGCUGACGAGUGGCGGACGGGUGAGUAAUGCGUGGGAAUCUGCCCACCAGUGGGGAAUAACGCAGGGAAACUUGCGCUAAUGCCGCAUAAUCUCUUUGGAGGAAAGCGGGGGACCUUAGGGCCUCGCGCUGGUGGAUGAGCCCACGUCGGAUUAGCUAGUUGGUGGGGUAAAGGCCUACCAAGGCGACGAUCCGUAGCCGGCCUGAGAGGGUGGACGGCCACACUGGGACUGAGACACGGCCCAGACUCCUACGGGAGGCAGCAGUGGGGAAUCUUGGACAAUGGGGGCAACCCUGAUCCAGCGAUGCCGCGUGUGUGAAGAAGGCCUGCGGGUUGUAAAGCACUUUUAUUGGGGAAGAAGGGGUUCUGGCUAAUAUCUGGAAUCAUUGACGUAACCCAAGGAAUAAGCACCGGCUAACUCC
rnacentral:rRNA from 1 species